GGCGAUAUAGCUCAGUCCGGUUAGAGCGCGGGAUUCAUAACCCCGAGGUCCCAGGUUCGAUCCCCGGUAUCGCCACCA
rnacentral:tRNA from 1 species